GCAUCUGUGUGGCAGCAAUGCAGGACAAGCCUGAGAGUCAGCCAUAUUGCUCUGUGCGGUGUUCAAAUAUCUGUGGGUUUUGCACCCCCUAAUUUGUUGUUCUCUAUUUGCAGGUAGUGAAGUCUAAGUUCGCCAGACCGCACCACGUGAUCAAGAUGAAAAGAUCCAAGAACCAUAUUGUGGGGAAAUACUUCAGCAGUCAAAGCAAACUGAAGCAACACAAUUCUGCCCCAAAUGUUCACUCACCAUAUCAUGUCAGAGGCCCGAUAAACCAGGUUUGUGCUGAAAUCCUGCUCAGCAGGAUGUGUGUGAGUCAGAGGUCUGCGCGGGUUCCCUGAAGGAGAACCCAGUUCACAGUUAGACAUAACCUUUCACCUGGACCUGAGAGCCAAACGUGCCUGACACAUACUUUGCAAUGACGACCCUCACCAGUGCAAGCAUGCACAGCAAAGCACACAGCCCACAGACACGCAAUGACACACUUUUCUGAUGUCUAUACACACUCAGAAGUGACCUUGAGCAUCCGUUAGUUUCAGGUCGAAGCACAGAGCUAUACAGAGAUCACUUGAACUGUGAUCACAAAGGACGACCGUGUGGACCAGGUAUUGGACUGCAAUGAUAAAAGGAAAGACAGAAAUGCAACCGCGUGGGGAUAGGGCGAUGCUGGUUCUGUGCUCUCCUCGACAUAGGAGGAGAAAAAAUGUUUUUCUACCAAUGAAAAAACGUCGAAGAAGCAAAUACAUUCCACAUGUAGGGAAGAAUAACACCGAAGUUCUCUACCGGGAGAAGCGGGGUAUUUACGGUGAUUUGAACUUUGUGGAUCCAAUGCUUAUGAAAAACACUUCUUAUGCUUUUAAAAUGGUACGAUGGAAGGGAGAGAACAGGAGUGAUUCUCUACAGUGGAAUUCAGAGAUUCUCCGAGAGCAAUAAGAAGCAACGUUAUAUUCAACUCUGAGUUCCUGUGUGUUCCUCAAAGAUCCCCCCACCCGUCUGUGAGCUUAGAUGGGAAGCACAGUCUAAGUGGAGGAUGUGCAUACUUUUAAAGUGUGGUACAAAAUAAAGUUCCCCGCCUGUUAUGCUGUAUAUUUGUGGAUGCUGUUACUAAGGAAGCCUUUACUGCCUUUACCUGCCCCUAUAGACCUAUUUAUUUUAAGACAAUGGUUACAUUUCAGAUAUUGUGCAAAGGAUUGCAGAUUCUCAAAUGUAAAAGCAUGAAGCCUUUCCUAUAUAUCCACAAAUAGUACUAUUUGACUAGUAUUAUAUUCUUCUUUGAACAAACAUGUUUAAUUCGAAUUAGAGAAUAGGCACACAAGUAUUUUGAUGAGAAUUGUGGUAUAGGUAUGGAAUGUACCCAGUGCUAGCAUUGAAAACUCUCUCUUCUGUCUUCUUAGGCACAAGAUGGCAGAUUUCCUUAUUAUACAAAUUCUUUGUUGGGAGAUAACAUUUCACUGCCAUGGUGGGUUUUAAAGGAUGAUCUGGGCAUGAGGAAAUGAAGCUGAGUGGGAUAACUCAGAACGUAGAUGAGAUUACUAAAUAUUCAAAUACCUCAAGUUCAUCGCCAUAAAAAAAAAUGAAACUAUUUUGACCUAUUGACCCAUCAAUUAUUUAGAAUGAAUUUCCACCUCUGCCAAAUGCUCUAUUUUUAUAUAUAUUUUAUAAGAAUAUAAACAUGAAUUUAUAUUUUACUGUAUUAAAUUAUAUUUAAGUACAAAUAUCACUUGAUAUAAACAUUAUAUGCAUUUAGAAAUAGAUUUUUUGAACAAUGGUACUGAAUUAACUUAAAAAUGAAGUAUUUUUCAUAUUUACAUCUAUAUACAAACACCAUUUUUAGGUUUUGCAGUUAUUUUUCCGUGAUAGAACAUGUUAGCAAUCGAUGUAGCUUUUCCAGUCAACUGUCGAUGGACUGCAUAUUCACCCACGCUGCCCAGCUAGCGCUAAGCCUCACUCUCCUCAUAACUGUGGAAACCCUCCGAAUCAAGUUGGUCUGGCAUUUUCCUCUUCACCAUUGAAAUAAUACUAGAUUUUUGAAAGAACUGUCAUGUGUUAUCAAUAAAUGUCUAGUUUGUAAUCAUCUGUGUUCAGAUGAUUUUACAAC
rnacentral:lncRNA from 1 species